AACCCUCAAGCUCAGCUUGGUAUUGAGUCCAUGUCAGUAAUGGCUGUCUCUAAAAUCAGUGGCGGCGCCGCUGGGUCCUGAACGUAGUAAUAUCUCUCGUUACAGGUUCUCGGUGUGCUUCUGCCAAAACCCAAUUUUUUUUAUGGUU
rnacentral:rRNA from 1 species